GGGAGGAAGUGUGAUCUUAUCAGACCUGGUGAGGAAUGAUAUACCUUGUUUGGCAGCUGUUGUCUGAUAGAGGCUUGUCUGAAUCCAGUCAGGACAGAUGCCUUUGUUUUCUUGGCAACCCGUGGAGCCCUAGAAAGACAAUCUCAUCAUUACCAUGUUGUCUGAGUGACUUGUGCCUGAGAAGAAGCAAAUGCUGUCCUCCUAAUCUCUCAAAAGGAGGAUUGAAGAGCAGAUGGCCAAAUCUGCAAAAUAUCCAGGCAUUUGGAGACUCUGCAUCUAUCUGGGAUCAUUUUAUGGCUUCCAUCUACACUUGUAUGUGAAUGCCUUCAUAAUCUUUAAUGUCUUUCUUCUUGCAUCACCCUCUCGGGUAUAGAAAUAGCAUUAACCCCAUUUUACAGAUCAGGACCUGAGCUACAAAACGAUUAAGGCCUACCAUAUACUAGAGGAGAUCUGUCCACUGUACUUGGACCUCUGGCAAACCCUCCUAGUGUAUAUGUAGUUUACAAAGGCCAAAAAGUGCUGCUGCUGUCACUAUUUCUUGUACCAGUUCACUGAGCAACACCAGUGCAAGUGCUAGUUUUUGCUAGCAUUACUGUGUCCACACUAGAGCCUUUGCUGUUUGUUGGGUUUUUUGUUGUUUUUUUUACUUGCAAUUAAUGGUUUUUGCUCACCAAAUAAUUUUUGCUCAAAGUCACCCAUUGUGAAUUGUAUCCAAGUUUCCAGCUAGCUAAUGCACAGUCCUUGUCUCAUUAUACACAGGACUGGAUCAAAUAAAACUGA